UGUCAGCCCGACUCACAGCUCACUCUCCGCGGACAUGUUUUACUGUUUGCGGUCCGAGUUCACACCAACAAACAACAGCUGGGAAGUUGUAACCUUGUGUCCGUCUCUGCUGCGGUCCCUCCCAGCUCCCCCCUCCCCUGCCCUGCUUUUCUCUCCCUCCUGCCUGAGUCGUGCUCAGGACGAGUUCCCACAAGUUGCCCUCAGCUCUCCUCCUCCCCGCCCCUGGCCCCGGUGCUGAAACGCCGCUAUCUGUCUGGCAUUCCUCGGAUACCGACGCAAGAUGUUGAUAAUAGAAAGAUAAAUUGCUGCUGACCUGUCACGUCCACUGAGGAGGAGCAACAGAAAUCUUACACACAGGCAUCCCAAAAUUUAAAAAGGGGCGGAGCUGCGAGCAGGAGGCUGACAGGCGAUGUUUCUUGUCAGCGCGCUGGAGGCGUGGCAGAACACUCUGACGAAACAGAUCCUUCGGCCUCUCCUGCACGCAAUGGUAAAUCCCCAGUUAGUGUUGCG